rnacentral:rRNA from 1 species
GAUGAACGCUAGCGGCAGGCCUAAUACAUGCAAGUCGAACGGUGUCUUCGGACAUAGUGGCGCACGGGUGCGUAACACGUAUGCAACCUACCUUACAUUGGGGGAUAGCCUUUCGAAAGGGAGAUUAAUACCGCAUAAGACAGUAGCUGGGCAUCCAGCAGCUGUUAAAGAUUUAUCGAUGUAAGCUGGGCAUGCGUCCAAUUAGCUAGUUGGUGAGGUAAUGGCUCACCAAGGCAAUGAUUGGUAGGGGAACUGAGAGGUCAAUCCCCCACACUGGCACUGAGAUACGGGCCAGACUCCUACGGGAGGCAGCAGUAGGGAAUAUUGGGCAAUGGACGCAAGUCUGACCCUGCCAUGCCGCGUGCAGGAUGAAGGCGUUAUGCGUUGUAAACUGCUUUUAUACAGGAAGAAACGACUCUUGCGAGAGGCAUUGACGGUACUGUAUGAAUAAGCACCGGCUAACUCCGUACCAGCCGCCGCAGUAAGAC